UGGGGAUUUUUCCGCAAUGGGCGCAAGCCUGACGGAGCAACGCCGCGUGCGGGAUGACGCCUUUCGGGGUGUAAACCGCUUUUCGGGGGGAAGAAGGUGGGAGCAACUCCACUUGACGGUACCCCCGGAAGAAGGACCGGCUAACUACGUGCCAGCAGCCGCGGUAAUACGUAGGGUCCGAGCGUUGUCCGGAGUUACUGGGCGUAAAGGGCACGCAGGCGGCGGCACUGGCCCGGCGUGAAAGCCCCCGGCUCAACCGGGGAGGGUCGUCGGGGACCGUGCCGCUUGAGGGCAGCAGGGGGUGGUGGAAUGCCCGGUGUAGUGGUGGAAUGCGUAGAGAUCGGGCGGAACACCCGUGGCGAAGGCGGCCACCUGGGCUGCACCCGACGCUGAGGUGCGAAGGCGUGGGGAGCGAAAGGGAUUAGAUACCCCUGUAGU
rnacentral:rRNA from 1 species